rnacentral:rRNA from 1 species
UGGGGAAUAUUGCACAAUGGGCGCAAGCCUGAUGCAGCCAUGCCGCGUGUGUGAAGAAGGCCUUCGGGUUGUAAAGCACUUUCAGCGAGGAGGAAGGUGGUGAGCUUAAUACGCUCAUCAAUUGACGUUACUCGCAGAAGAAGCACCGGCUAACUCCGUGCCAGCAGCCGCGGUAAUACGGAGGGUGCAAGCGUUAAUCGGAAUUACUGGGCGUAAAGCGCACGCAGGCGGUUUGUUAAGUCAGAUGUGAAAUCCCCGGGCUCAACCUGGGAACUGCAUUUGAAACUGGCAAGCUAGAGUCUCGUAGAGGGGGGUAGAAUUCCAGGUGUAGCGGUGAAAUGCGUAGAGAUCUGGAGGAAUACCGGUGGCGAAGGCGGCCCCCCUGGACGAAGACUGACGCUCAGGUGCGAAAGCGUGGGGAGCAAAACAGGAUUAGAUACCCUGGUAGUCCACGCUGUAAACGAUGUCGAUUUUGGAGGUUGUGCCCCUUGAGGCGUGGCUUCCGGAGCUAACGCGUUAAAUCGACUGCCUGGGGAGUAC